rnacentral:rRNA from 1 species
AUGCAGUCGUUUCUACAAGAAGCCGAGAGGUUCAAGGAUACUGAAAAUACCACUGCUAGCUUCAUCAACAAGAUCCGAGGCCUUGCGUUCGAGAUCGAGGAUGUUGUUGACGAGUUCACCUACAAGUUAGAGGAUAAACAUGGUGGCUUUUCUGUGAAGAUCAAGCGGCGGUUUAAGAGAAUCAGUACCUGGCGCCGUCUGUCACUGCAAUUGAGAGACAUCAAACUGAAAUUAGAGAAUGUUGAUAGGAGAAAGGCCCGGUAUGACAUGAGAGGAAUUGCAAUAGAAGCUAGAAACAGUGAUGCUCAUUGCAGAUCUACAGAUCAGACUUCAUACUUCCCAAUAGAAGAAAAUCUUGUCGGCAUUGAUGAGAGUAAGAAUCUGCUGAUUAAUUGGUUGACAAGUGAUUUCCAACAGGAGAAUGUAAUUAGCACAGUAUGGGGGAUGGGAGGAGUAGGCAAGACCACUUUGGUUGCCCAUGUUUACAACACUCUGAAGAUAGACUUCGACUGUGCUGCAUGGAUAACUGUAUCAAAAUCAUACCAGGUUCAGGACUUGUUAAAGCAGAUUAUCAGGGAGUUACAGAAGAGCGACUUGAAGGGUGAACUUCGCGUUGAUAUUGUUGACAUGGAAAAGAGAAGCCUAGUUGAGAUCAUCCGUGAUUUCUUGCGUGGCAAGAAGUAUCUUCUGGUUCUAGAUGAUGUCUGGGGUAUUGACAUCUGGUUCAAGAUAAGAGAUGCUUUCCCUACUAACAGCACCAGUCGGUUUGUAAUCACGUCAAGAAUCCAUGAUGUAGCGUUGCUGGCUACUGGAAAUUGCAUGGUUGAAUUGAAACCACUAGAAGCGCACCACUCAUGGGAAUUGUUCUGUAAAGAGGCGUUUUGGAAAAAUGAAAACAGAAUAUGUCCGGAGGAGCUACAGUUUUUGGCACAAAGAUUUGUGGACAAGUGUAAUGGCUUGCCCAUUGCUAUUGCAUGCAUAGGUCGUUUACUGUCCUGCAAAAGCCAAACUCAUUCUGAAUGGGAAAAAUUGUACAAGGAAUUAGAAGUGCAGUUGACAAACAAUGCAAUUUUUGAUGUUAACAUAGUUCUAAUGGUCAGUUUGGGGGAUCUUCCAUAUAUUUUGAAGAACUGCUUUCUUCAUUGUAUUGUAUUUCCAGAGGAUUAUUUGAUCAAAAGGAAAAGACUGAUUAGGCAUUGGGUGACAGCAGGAUUCAUCAGGGAAACAGAGCACAAAACAAUGGAGGAAGUGGCAGAGGGCUAUUUGUACGAACUUGUAAAUCGAAGCCUAUUGCAGGUAGUGGAGAGGAAUGAAAGUGGACGUGUGCGGAGUUGCCGAAUGCAUGAUAUCAUUCGCCUUCUUGCUCUGGCUAAAUCAAAUGAGGAGAGGUUCUGUAGAGUUCAUGAUGGCCCAGGAAGUUCUUCAGCAGAAAAUACACGCCGCCUAUCAAUCCAAAGCGCCAAUAUUGAGCAGUUGACUCUUUCAAGUGAAGUUCAGCUCCGUUCAAUCUAUGUUUUUGACAAUGGUCUGACAAUUGAUUCACUGGAGUCUUUGUUGAAAUCUUUUAAGUUGCUAUCAACUUUAGAUCUACAAGGUUCCAAAAUUAGGAGGCUACCGAAUGAGAUUUUCAACAUGUUUAAUCUGCGGUUUCUGGGUCUUAGAGAUACCGAGGUUGAGGAUAUUCCGAGAACAGUUGGAAGACUACAGAAAUUGGAAGUUUUGGAUGCUUACAAUGCUAAGCUGUUGAGUUUACCAGAGAGUGUGGCGACACUCAGGAAGUUGAGAUAUCUAUAUGUAGCUACUGAUCCAAAGACAAAUAUUAAAGGAGUUGUUGCCUGGACUGGAAUCCAGGUGCCUAACGGCAUAAGGCACUUGACAGACUUGCAAGCCUUGCAACUUGUUGAGGCAAGUUCAGAGACUUUGUGUCAUCUUGGUGCUUUGACAGAGUUGAGAACUUUGUCCAUCACCAAAGUGCAGAGAGAACAGUGUGCUGAUUUGUGCAAUGCUAUCAUGAAUAUGACCCAUCUUGUUAGUCUGGCAAUUAUGGCUAUAAAUGAGAAAGAAACACUGGAACUGGAAGAGCUCUGCUUACCCCCUACGCUCUCGAAGCUUGAAAUAGGAGGGCAACUAGAUAGGAAACGGAUGCCUCAGAUUGUCUCGUCCUUCUCAGACCAUGAAAACAUUACCUUGUUGGCCUUAGCCUUCUCCAAACUUGAUGAAGACUCAUUUUCAUGCCUGCUGGUGUUACAUGGUCUACGUGCACUUUGGCUUGAUAAGGCCUAUGAAGGGAAGAGGCUGCACUUCAAUGCCAUGGCAUUUCCAAAACUGCGACUGCUAUCAAUCUCAGAUGCACCGCAGCUCAAUGAUGUUGUGGUAGAAGAAAGUGCAUUGCAAAGCCUUCUUCACCUAUCUCUCACAGAUUGUCCAGAGCUAAAGGCCCUCCCUGAUGGCAUUGAGCAUCUUAGAACACUAGAGAAAUUAUAUCUGCGAGGAGUUUCCAAAGAUCUCACAAAGAAGCUUCAGAACAAAGAAAAAACAAAUGAAUGCAAUGAUUAUCUUAAGAAGAUCAAUCACGUCCGAAGGGUAACUGUUUAUCCAUGA